CAAUUUCUAUGACAAUGUUAGAAGAUUUGUUUGUUUUUAGUAGAUAUACGAAGAACUACAUUGUCACUUCAUAUGGAAUUCCAAUUAACAAGUAAACAAGAAUCAAUGUCCCAAUUUUUAAUUUGAGAAUUAUCAACAAUAACAACUACAUAUGAGUUGUAAAAUAUCGUACCAACAAACAUUUGAUGAUAAGGAACUAGUAGUAAGAUUUUUGUCUUUGACAAUUGCUCUGAACACAAUUAGAAGAAACAACCAGAGGGCUGCUACAAUGCUUUUGCGGUUAUUGAUAGUUUGGAAAAUAAUUUGUAAUAUUUUGAAUUAAGUCAUUGUGAGUCUUGUAUUUUCCUAACCUGACAACUCUAUAGGUUUCAUAGUCAUUUUCGGUAUAAACCAGUGGGUUAAUUCAAUUGUUGGCCAAUAUAACGAGUACAACGAUAAGUUAGGAGGGUGAAUAGCAUUUCACCAUUAAUUUUUUUAUCGGAAUCGUGUUUUAAAAAGGCGUUCAAAUGAAACAAAUUUGACUAUUGAAAUUGGUGCAAUCCAUAUAAAGAAGUCAAUCAAGCAGUGCUAAAACACAAUUCAAAUUUGAACAAGAAAUUCACACUUAAAUUAGUGUUUGCUAAUCAAUUACUAAUACACAAUGUAAUCUAGAAAACCUAUCAACAAUUUCAAUCCACCUAACCUUAGAAAAGAAAUAACUAUCACAAGAACUAUAUACUUAUGAUAUAUGUGAUAGGAUAGACAAUAAGGUUGUGUUUGGUAACACAAAAAAGUUAGCUUAUAGUUUUUUGGAUUAAAACGUGGCGUGUUUGGUAACAAACUUUUUUCAAGAGUUUAUAGCGUUUUUUGAAAAGCUAUUUCAAGUAGCUUUUUAGCUUAUAGCUGGUAGUUUUUUUAUAUUUUCUUUCAACUUUAACCCUAUUAAUUUAAAUUAAUUAUUUUUUAAUUAAACAACUAUACCCAUGUUCAUCUUUAUACCGCCCCAUUUUUUUCCUUAAAAAAAAUGCCACGUUUUUUUUAAGGAGCACUUUAUAUAUAUAUCUAUGUAUGUAUGUAUGUAUGUAUUUUUUUUUAAGAAAAUGCUUUAUAUUUUGCUAUAACUAACCUGCUGUACACCACAAAAAAAAUAACUAGCCUAUUUUUUUUAAAGGAAAAAAUAAUUAGUCUAUUGUACGUUGUAAAAUUUUUUAUAUUCUAGCUCACAUUUUGUUUCCACCUUUCUCUUAUUUUUGGGAUUCAUAAAGCAGAGAUCAAAAUUGUCGAUGAAUUUUUUUUAGGAUUAAAAGUCGAAGAAUUUUUUUAUGGAGACUAAGACCAAAAGUUUGAAUAUUUAUAGGGACCAAAAACAUAUUUAACUAUAAUUAAAAAUAUUAAAAAAUAAAUACAUUACAAAAAAAUGUGUGUGUCUAUAUGUAUAUUAAAAAUAUAUAUAUAUAUAUAUAUAUAUAUGUCCUUUUAUGUCAUUUUAUACUUAUCAGCCACUCCAACAGCUAAUUUUACCAAACACAUUAUUUUUAAUAAGAAAGCUUUUCAGCUAUAAGCUACAUCUAUCAGUCAUCAGCUAGCUUAUAACUUAUUUUUACCAAACAGAGCCUAAGUUAAUCUCUAAUAUGACAAAUGAUUGAAUUGAUACUAUUUUACCAC
rnacentral:lncRNA from 1 species